GAUGAACGCUGGCGGCGUGCUUAACACAUGCAAGUCGAACGGUGAAAGCGGAGCUUGCUCUGCUGGAUCAGUGGCGAACGGGUGAGUAACACGUGAGCAAUCUGCCCCUGACUCUGGGAUAAGCGCUGGAAACGGCGUCUAAUACCGGAUACGAGCUGCGAAGGCAUCUUCAGCAGCUGGAAAGAACUUCGGUCAGGGAUGAGCUCGCGGCCUAUCAGCUAGUUGGUGAGGUAACGGCUCACCAAGGCGUCGACGGGUAGCCGGCCUGAGAGGGUGACCGGCCACACUGGUACUGAGACACGGCCCAGACUCCUACGGGAGGCAGCAGUGGGGAAUAUUGCACAAUGGGCGAAAGCCUGAUGCAGCAACGCCGCGUGAGGGACGACGGCCUUCGGGUUGUAAACCUCUUUUAGCAGGGAAGAAGCGAAAGUGACGGUACCUGCAGAAAAAGCACCGGCUAACUACGUGCCAGCCGCCGCAGUAA
rnacentral:rRNA from 1 species